rnacentral:rRNA from 1 species
UACGUAGGGCGCAAGCGUUAUCCGGAAUUAUUGGGCGUAAAGAGCUCGUAGGCGGCCUGUUGCGUCCGCUGUGAAAUCCCGGGGCUUAACCCCGGGCGUGCAGUGGAUACGGGCAGGCUGGAGGCAGGCAGGGGAGAACGGAAUUCCCGGUGUAGCGGUGAAAUGCGCAGAUAUCGGGAGGAACACCGGUGGCGAAGGCGGGUCUCUGGGCCGAUACUGACGCUGAGGAGCGAAAGCGUGGGGAGCGAACAGG